rnacentral:lncRNA from 1 species
CGCUGACAUCCUCACGGGGACACCCAGGACCUCGGCGUGACCGGGUCCCUCAUCACCCUGCAAGCACAAAGGGACAGGAGGGAUGGCUGCUGACCAGAGGCCAACGUCGGGUGGUUUGGGAUCCGUAGGGUGAGCAGGGACCGUGUCCCCGUGGCUGUCGCAGCGUCUUCAGCUCCUCAGCUCUGCGCCCCCCUGUCCUGCACACUGCUGCUCCCCACUGUGCUGAUGUCCCCAGCCUGAACCGUGCCCACUGGGACACCUGGAUGGGCUGUGACAGCCGAGGGACCUGUCUGAGCAUGAAGGGUUCCAGGAGCAGAACUGCACGGGCAACGCUCUGCUUCCCGUGGCCACACAAAUCCCAACUGGGUGAUAACACACCAAAAUCCUGCAGCUCUGCCUGGGAGCUCCAGCAUCUCUGCCCUCCCACCCGCACCAGGAACUGGGGCAGGAACUGGGGGAUAAUCCCCUUCGCAAGUGAACCCCUCUGUUUGCGACCGCUAGAUCCCAAGCGGUGGCAGCUUUACAGGUCCCAUGGCAUUUUUCUGGCAGGUUGUGUUACCUGGCAACCUGCGGUGGGGAGAGGAGGGAAAUGCUCAGCCAGCGGCACCAGCAAUGCUCCAAAUUGGGGUGUGGGUCCCCCCAAAGCCCCCCAGCACAGCAGCUGCAUGCCCAGCUCCCUGCGUGGGGCCCUGCAGACGCUUCUGCUGCAAGCUCCUGCCCCCACCAUGCCCACAGCCCUCAUCACUCCAGGGGUUGCUGCUGUCCUUACGUGGGCCUUGGGCUCCUGGAUCUUCUCGCCAAGGCUCUCAGGAAGCUGCAGGACAUCCCCCUGCCCCAGUUAUUGGUGUCCCCCUGGGGACAUCCAUCAGGCUGGAGAUCCUGAUGUCUCCAAAUCGCUCCUUCCUAAGGAGAGCAGAAGCUGCGAGGCUGGGAGGUGCUCGGGCCAAGCAGAGCUUCCCUUGCAAACCUGUUCUGGAGCUGGGGCUGGAGCUCGGGAAGGAGCCCCAGGCAGGAACUGAGGCACUGUUGCCUUCCCGGUGCAAAGCUGAGCCGGGCUCUCUGU